GACGAACGCUGGCGGCGUGCCUAAUACAUGCAAGUAGAACGCUGAAGGAGGAGCUUGCUUCUCUGGAUGAGUUGCGAACGGGUGAGUAACGCGUAGGUAACCUGCCUGGUAGCGGGGGAUAACUAUUGGAAACGAUAGCUAAUACCGCAUAAGAGUAGAUGUUGCAUGACAUUUGCUUAAAAGGUGCAAUUGCAUCACUACCAGAUGGACCUGCGUUGUAUUAGCUAGUUGGUGGGGUAACGGCUCACCAAGGCGACGAUACAUAGCCGACCUGAGAGGGUGAUCGGCCACCCUGGGACUGAGACACGGCCCAGACUCCUACGGGAGGCAGCAGUAGGGAAUCUUCGGCAAUGGACGGAAGUCUGACCGAGCAACGCCGCGUGAGUGAAGAAGGUUUUCGGAUCGUAAAGCUCUGUUGUAAGAGAAGAACGAGUGUGAGAGUGGAAAGUUCACACUGUGACGGUAUCUUACCAGAAAGGGACGGCUAACUACGUG
rnacentral:rRNA from 1 species